GGGAUGGGUCAAUCCUAGACGGGGUGGAUAAGCACAUAAGAUGCUGGAUCCAGACUAGUUUAAUGAUCAGAUUAUUUUAAGAGGAUGGAAGAAUAAAGGGGUGCCGCCUUCAAUCCAGGAGUGGGCUUGUGAGAUGGGGAGGGUGGCAGG